GAAAUGCGAUAAGUAAUGUGAAUUGCAGAAUUCAGUGAAUCAUCGAAUCUUUGAACGCACCUUGCGCUCCUUGGUAUUCCUUGGAGCAUGCCUGUUUGAGUAUCAUGAAAUCUUCAAAGUAAAUCUUUUGUUAACUCAAUUGGUUUCUACUUUGGUAUUGGAGGUCUUUGCAGCUUCACACCUGCUCCUUUUUGUUCAUUAGCUGGAUCUCAGUGUUAUGCUUGGUUCCACUCGGCGUGAUAAGUUAUCUAUCGCUGAGGACACUGUAAAAGGUGGCCAAGGUAAAUGCAGAUGAACCGCUUCUAAUAGUCCAUUGACUUGGACAAUACUUUUAUGAUCUGAUCUCAAAUCAGGUAGGACUACCCGCUGAACUUAAGC
rnacentral:misc_RNA from 1 species